rnacentral:rRNA from 1 species
UAUAAGUAUAAACGAUUUUAUCGUGAAACCGCGAACGGCUCAUUAUAACAGCUAUAAUUUACUUGAUCUUGACUAUCCUACUUGGAUAACUGUGGUAAUUCUAGAGCUAAUACAUGCACCAAAGCUCUGACCUUACGGAAAGAGUGCAUUUAUUAGAACAAAACCAAGCGACUUCGGUCGUUUUUUGUUGACUCAGAAUAACUAAGCUGAUCGCAUGGUCUUGCACCGGCGACGUGUCUUUCAAGUAUCUGCCUUAUCAACUUUCGAUGGUAGUGUAUCUGACUACCAUGGUGGUGACGGGUAACGGAGGAUAAGGGUUUGACUCCGGAGAAGGGGCCUGAGAAAUGGCCACUACGUCUAAGGAUGGCAGCAGGCGCGCAAAUUACCCACUCUCAGAACGAGGAGGUAGUGACGAAAAAUAACGAGACCGUUCUCUUUGAGGCCGGUCAUCGGAAUGGGUACAAUCUAAA